rnacentral:lncRNA from 1 species
GGAGCCAAGAGUCGCAGGAGAAACAGACACGUUCAGGACAUAGUGUGACUUCAGCUGGGAAGAUGGGUUUGGAGACUUCUGCUCUUUUAGCUCACUAGAGAGAUGGGGUGGGGGCAAGUCAAGGACUGGAUCUCACUAGAGGAGGGGCCAGCCUAGAAGGACUGGUGCCACCUCCUGGGCAGUAUGAAUGUGAAAACACUGCUGUGGUCCAACAAUUAAUGAGCACUUGCCAUAAUCCAGGCCGUGUGCUAAGCACCAAAUGCCUCACAUGGGUCACCUCCUGCAAUCUUCAACGACUUGAGCUGAUGUUUUCACCCUUCUCCAGGUGAGGGAACUGAGGUUCAGAGAGGUGAAGUCCCUUGCCGAAAGUCUCGCCGGGAGCAAGUGACAGCCUUAGGACUUGAACUCAGGAACCCCACGGCUCUAAAGUGUCCCCCCUUCCCAUAUAUCCCUGUGGCUUCUGACCACAAACACUGGAUUUGUGGACAUAUGUCAAACAUUUGGGACAUAAAUGACUGACAGACACCCAGGCAGAUCAGCCACAGCAGUUCUGACGCCCAAUCUUUGAUAAGCACAAUUGUUGGGUGGCCUCAUUUAUUGCCCUCACCCUGAUAUUCAGCCACAGCUCCCACAGUGCCCUUCCCCUCUCUGGCCUUCCAUUUCUGGCCUGUCCAGAAGGGACCCCAUCAAGAAGAUGAGCAGUUCGAGCAUCUCGAAAGGAACUCAGGCUGUGGGCCACAGUGCUUGGCCUCAGUGACAACAUGGCUUGUAUGUGCUUGGGGCUGGCAGUGGGAGUGGAGGUGGGGCCAGGCAUGCAAACACUAUGCUAACAAUAAGCACUUAUUAAGCAACUAUGGUGUCCUAGGUGCUGAGCAGUGUACUGGCCACGCAUUGCCUCGUUUCACCCUCAUGCCACCCUAUGAAGGAAGAGCUACCGCUAGCUCCAUUUUACAGACAAGGGAAACCAAGACACAGAGAGCAUAAGUUAAAUUCCAGAAGGCCCACAGGAGGAAUCUGUGGCCUGGGAACUCUUCAAGAAAUGCUGACAUGAAGUUUGAGAAGUGCUGGUUCAGAGAGGCUUGAAAAAGCACCUGGGCUUUAUUUGGAAGCGGAGCAGCAGCUGAUGCCUCCCUAAAUGUUCUGCAGAUCCCAGAGCAAAGACCUCUGAGUCUACCGCCCCACCCUGCCCAGCCACGGCUCACUCCUGCGGUGGGCUCUGCCAGAGGAGGAAGAGUGGGACCCUCAAGCUCUCUCUGGGUCCUCAGCUCCAGUCUCGACUUUCUCUGCUCUUCAGUGUACAGGAUGGAAAACACGGAUGCAGUGGCUUCAGGUUUUUAUAUGAAAGUAACAUCAGCCAUUCAGAGAGAGUCUGACUUGACAUCGUGCCACAUUCAAAAUUCUCAGGAUGAGAAAACUGAGCCUUGAGAAGAUGGGGGCCAUUUGCCCAAAGUCCCUGAGUAUGAAUCAUCUGAGGAGGAGGGCACUGUAUCAACAGUGCUUCUCUGAGUGACUCAAACCCAAUGCUACACAAGAAGGACUUUUACCCAACCAUGACGCUACCAAGCGUGUAGCAUCCUAGUAGAUUGUUCACCACUUAUCACUCAUAUGUGGUCUAGAGACCAGCAGCAUCAGCAUCACCUGGGAGCUGGCUAGAAAGAGAAUUUCAGGCCCUGCCCCAGACCUACUGAAAUGGAAACUUCAUGUGAAAAAGGUCCCCAGCUGAUUGUGUGCACGUUGAAAUUUGAGAAGUGCUGGUCUCUACCACGGAUCAAGGAGUUC